GUCCACGCCCUAAACGAUGUCUACUAGUUGUUGGUGGAGUAAAAUCCAUGAGUAACGCAGCUAACGCGUGAAGUAGACCGCCUGGGGAGUACGGUCGCAAGAUUAAAACUCAAAUGAAUUGACUGGGGCCCCGCACAAGCGGUGGAUUAUGUGGAUUAAUUCGAUGCAACGCGAAAAACCUUACCUGGCCUUGACAUGUAACGAACUUUCCAGAGAUGGAUUGGUGCUCGAAAGAUAACGUUAACACAGGUGCUGCAUGGCUGUCGU
rnacentral:rRNA from 1 species